rnacentral:rRNA from 1 species
CCUACGGGCGGCAGCAGUGAGGAAUAUUGGUCAAUGGGCUUACGCCUGAACCAGCCAAGUCGCGUGAGGGAAGACUGCCCUAUGGGUUGUAAACCUCUUUUGUCAGGGAGCAACGCCGGCUACGUGUAGCCGGUCUGAGAGUACCUGAAGAAAAAGCAUCGGCUAACUCCGUGCCAGCAGCCGCGGUAAUACGGGGGAUGCGAGCGUUAUCCGGAUUUAUUGGGUUUAAAGGGUGUGUGGGCGGAAUGCCAAGUCAGCGGGAAAAUAGCGGGGCUCAACCUCUCUCCGCCGUUGAAACUGGCGUUCUUGAGUGGGCGAGAAGUAUGCGGAAGGCGUGGUGUAGCGGUGAAAUGCAUAGAUAUCACGCAGAACUCCGAUUGCGAAGGCAGCAUACCGGCGCCCAACUGACGCUGAAGCACGAAAGCGUGGGUAUCGAACAGGAUUAGAUACCCUGGUAGUC